rnacentral:tRNA from 1 species
GGAGGGAUGGCCGAGUGGUUUAAGGCGGCGGUCUUGAAAACCGUUGAACGCAAGUUCCGUAGGUUCGAAUCCUAUUCCCUCCGCCA